CAAAAACAAAAACGCAUUAUUCAUCGAUUAGGUAUUGACCAUAUCAACUAUUAAUAUCACAUACGCCUCUCCAUUGCUUAAAAAUAAAACUUUUUUGGUGAUAUUAUAUUAUUCUAAUCGUAACUUCUCUGUAAUUGUAUAGCGUCGUAACAAAUAAAUAAGGGUGGCUCUUUAAAAUUUACUAUAGUAUGGUUCGAAAUCACUCUAUAGUAUCCAAAAAUGGUAUCUAUUUAUAUUAUUAUUACCUUGUUUAUAAUUGAUUGGCAACAUUGUUCAUGUUGAAAUCUGUUUACACAGUAUUAGCACAAUAAGCAAAAUAUAUGUCGUAGGGAAAUAAUAAAUUGAUGACGAAUCAUAUUAUGUGAGAGAUGCCAUUUAUUGACGAAACUCAAGUGUGAUUAAAUUGUGAUAAUUUAUUUUAUGGUUUUUAUGCAAACAACACUCGAUACAUAAUAUAGAAAAUUUGAAAUUUUUUUUUACGAAUUCAAUUGUUUGGUGCUAUUGAUAUUAAACAGAGACCACCAUUGAUGUCAUCACAGAUGAAUUUCGGAACGUUGUGUAAUAUUGUCUUAAAAGCUAUGAAAAAAUAUCGCGAAAACAUAAAAAUAUAUUAUUCUUCACUUUAUUCACCUUUAUCCCACGCAAGUUUGCUAAUUAGCUACUUAGCUGUCGUUUGCAGGCCGCCCCAUAUUAGUUUCAUAAAAUUUUCCUUUUAUGGCACAUUAUUUUGAUCACACAGCAUCACUUCCGACGCUACUAGAUAGCUAUAAAACGUAAAUAAGGAUUUAAGUAUAUUUUUUUUUAUUAUCGCCAGUAAAAUAAUAUAUCAACACUUAAACAGCAUUAUUUUGAUGUAGUAAUUGUGCACAAUAACACCAAGUUAUCAGAAUCAGUAUUAUAGGUUUUUGACAUAUUAAAAUAUUAUCCACAUGUUUAGUAUAUAAUUUAUACAAUAUAAUAUUUAGGUACUCACCAACUUAUCGAGUUAUUAAAAAUAAUCUUAAAGUUAAUAAUAUACAUAGAUUUUAAUCGUAGCUAUUAUACAUUUGAAAUAGUUAUUUUUAUUAAAAUUCCUAGACUAUUUUCUCUGAUAAUGCAUGAAGUUACAAAAGAGAUACACACACCGGAUCAAAUACCAUAGUGCACAAUAUUUUCGAAUGAUAUAGUUUUUAUAGAAAAAAUAGUAGAUGUUAACAGUUAGCUUGAGUAGUGGAGCACAGCAAUUCAUUGAAAGAAAGGAAUGAAAGAUUAGUAGAAAUAAAACAAAGUUCUUAUACAGA